rnacentral:misc_RNA from 1 species
GAAAUGCGAUACGUAAUGUGAAUUGCAGAAUUCAGUGAAUCAUCGAAUCUUUGAACGCAAAUUGCGCUUUUGGGUCACCCUGAGAGCAUGCCUCGUUCAGUAUCGUUUCUACCCACAUCUAAAGCUUAGGCUUUGGGAAAAUGAGGCGUCUUUAUGCUUUGUCAUAAAGUCCCUUGAAGUCUAUCGAGUUGUAACCUAAUUGUGUUCCUUUUCUUUCCUUAAUCGGAUUGAAAGCCUUUUAAACUCAGUCUCAAUGGAGAUACUUGACCUUGUGUCAUUCUUUUCAUUGAUUCCGGCUGAACUAAUUGGAGUAGCAUGACGGGAUUCUACGACUUUUUAAACUUUGCUUAUAUAAUAGCAAAAACACCUAACGAUCUGAUCUGAACUGAGGUAGGAUUAC